GACGAACGCUGGCGGCGUGCUUAACACAUGCAAGUCGAACGGAAAGGCCCUGCUCUUGUGGGGUGCUCGAGUGGCGAACGGGUGAGUAACACGUGUGUAACCUGCCCUUGUCUUUGGGAUAACUUCUGGAAACUGGGGCUAAUACCGGAGAUGAGCUCCUGCUGCAUGGUGGGGGUUGGAAAGUUUCGGCGGUGCGGGAUGGACUCGCGGCUUACGAGCCUGAUGGUGGGGUAGUGGCUUACCAGGGUUUUGACGGGUAGCCGGCCUGGGAGGGUGACCGGCCACAUUGGGACUGAGAUACGGCCCAGACUCCUACGGGAGGCAGCAGUGGAGAAUAUUGCACAAUGAGCGGAAGCCUGAUGCAGCAACGCCGCGUGCGUGAUGACGGCCUUCGGGUUGUAAACCGCUUUCGCCUGUGACGAAGCGUGAGUGACGGUAAUGGGUAAAGAAGCACCGGCUAACUACGUG
rnacentral:rRNA from 1 species